rnacentral:rRNA from 1 species
GUGUCAGCAGCCGCGGUAAUACGGAGGAUGCGAGCGUUAUCCGGAAUCAUUGGGUUUAAAGGGUCCGUAGGCGGGCUUAUAAGUCAGUGGUGAAAUCUCCCAGCUCAACUGGGAAACUGCCAUUGAUACUGUAGGUCUUGAAUAUUUGUGAAGUAACUAGAAUAUGUAGUGUAGCGGUGAAAUGCUUAGAUAUUACAUGGAAUACCAAUUGCGAAGGCAGGUUACUAACAAAUUAUUGACGCUGAUGGACGAAAGCGUGGGGAGCGAACAGGAUUAGAUACCCUGGUAGUCCACGCCGUAAACGAUGGAUACUAGCUGUUCGAUUUUCGGAUUGAGUGGCUAAGCGAAAGUGAUAAGUAUCCCACCUGGGGAGUACGCACGCAAGUGUGAAACUUAAAUGAAUUGACGGGG